rnacentral:lncRNA from 1 species
CAUCUUUUCUUUUAACUUUUUAUGGUGCUUCUGUUGGCAUAGUUGGGGAAAGCACCUACAACAUGAGUUUUAUCAUGAAGCUUCACUUAGAGUCCCCUUAAGAUAGACAAAAGAAAAUUGUAGGUUUCUAGGUCUACUCAAUUAAAGCAAUUGAGUUUCAUAGUUUCAGGAAAUGACCAAUUUAACUCCUAUCUGGAAUUUGUGAUAUUGGAAACAUUUGUGGAAAAGGAACACAUUCUAAAGUAUUUUGAAAGUUUCUUAACCAGUUUUUCUCUAAAUCAUUGUUCUAUAGUAAACACAGACAUGGAUAAAAUGAAUUCCUAAAGAUAUAAAUUUGGAAUUUUAAAUUAAGAUAUAAUUUAUUUGGUAACAAAAUAAGUGGAUUUUUAAAUCCUCUCUUCCUUAGUAAUAGAACAUCUAUUAUGUUCUCCAUGGUAUGCAGACAGUAAUGUAGAACUUAAGGGGUUUAUAUAGUUACCUAGACAAUUUUAUCAUUUACUACAUUUUUUUGAAGUUAUCUUUGUAAAGAAAAAAAACUUUUUCCAUUAAGGAAUACAUGUUAUCCUGGACUUCUGG